rnacentral:tRNA from 1 species
CAGCUCAGCGGUUGAACACUCGCUUCACAAGCGAUAGGUCGGUGGUUCAAACCCAUCAGGG